GGGGACGAAAGGCUUCGACAAGAAGCGUUUCCUGAAUUCGCGAGCCGACUGUGAAGUCGUUAAUCUCACAAAAAACAUAACUGCUAACGACAACGUUAGAGUUCCUGCUUUCGCUUACGCUUAAGUAGGCAUCAGUUGAGUCCGGGCCUCUUGGAUUCAAAACUGGUGUAAUACAAGGAGGCUAGUUCUGCCCAAACCGCUCCCCAGUAAGCAGAAUUAAACAAGCGGAGGAGCACGUAAGCUCGGUCUCACCGAGAUACGCUCGUAGACGAUUUAGCGAAAACCUCCUUGGACGCGGUUUCAAUACCGCCGUCUCCACUC
rnacentral:tmRNA from 1 species